UUUCUUUGUUGCUUAUUUUCUUCAUAUGUGUUGAAGUCAGAAUGUCAUCAUAAAUUUUUAAAAACUCCACAUCUAUUUUCAGUAACAUUUCAUUUGCAUAUUAGUAAGAAUUCAUAAUGAAUUUAUGAGGAAUAUAUUCACAAUUUCGUUGAUUCUGGAAUACGUUAUUAUAAUUCUUUUUCUUCAAAAUAUAUAUUUUCUAUAAAGAUAUGUUAUCAACUGUUUUUGAAGAAAAAGGCAUUAUUUACACUUUUAAUAUUUCAUUUGAUUUCUAAAUGCCAAGCUCAAUGAUAUGCUUUAAUGAUGUUUAGUAGUCUAUUUUGAGAUAAGUGUAAAAAAGAAUUAUUUCCCAGCCUCCUGUUGGAAAAUUUAACCCUUGCAAUAGGGCCACACAGUCUCGCUUCCGGUGGAGAACUUCCGGAGAAAAGCACACAUUUCUCAGCAUAGCAAUAGACUAUGAAUUGGCUUAUUUGAGUUAAAAGAAACAAUCAUAACUUUGUAUUCGUGUUUGCGUGUUGUCAACUUGGUUUACGGCGAACAUGUAAGGCUUCCAGGAUCCUAUCUAAAAAAAGGGAGGGGGGAUGCAGAUAAUGGACCUACUGCUUGGUGGUUUAUUGGAUUGUGAAAAGUGACACUGGAUCAACGAAUUACCAGAGCAAUCCAUUCCAGGGCAGAUUAUGAAAGCUGAUUUGCUCUUGUUGAUUUUAACACUACAAAAUAUUUCUUGUUAGUAAAAUAUUGAAGUAUUAUCCUUCAUGAUAUACAAAUGUAGAUUAAGGAUUAAAAUAUAAUAAAAGUCUUCACCACCA